AGUCGACGGUACAGGCCUAGUUACUAGGUGCUGACGAGUGGCGGACGGCUGAGUAACGCGUGGGAAUGUGCCCUAAAGUGAGGGAUAACGCACCGAAAGGUGUGCUAAUACCGCAUAUGGUCUUCGGAUUAAAGAAUUUAUUCGCUUUAGGAGCAGCCCGCGUCGGAUUAGGUAGUUGGUGAGGUAAAGGCUCACCAAGCCCACGAUCCGUAGCUGGUCUGAGAGGAUGACCAGCCAGACUGGAACUGAGACACGGUCCAGACUCCUACGGGAGGCAGCAGUGAGGAAUCUUCCACAAUGGGCGAAAGCCUGAUGGAGCAACGCCGCGUGCAGGAUGAAGGCCUUCGGGUUGUAAACUGCUUUUAUUUGUGAAGAAUAUGACGGUAACAAAUGAAUAAGGAUCGGCUAACUACGUGCCAGCAGCCGCGGUCAUACGUAGGAUCCAAGCGUUAUCCGGAGUGACUGGGCGUAAAGAGUUGCGUAGGUGGUUUGUUAAGUAGAUAGUGAAAUCUGGCGGCUCAACCGUACAGGCUAUUAUCUAAACUGACAAACUCGAGAAUGGUAGAGGUAACUGGAAUUUCUUGUGUAGGAGUGAAAUCCGUAGAUAUAAGAAGGAACACCAAUGGCGUAGGCAGGUUACUGGACCAUUUCUGACACUGAGGCACGAAAGCGUGGGGAGCGAACCGGAUUAGAUACCCGGGUAGUCCACGCCGUUAACGAUGGAUACUAGCUGUUGGAGGUAUCGACCCCUU
rnacentral:rRNA from 1 species